CCUGUUGCUGUCCGUUUCGGCUGGUGGAUGAUUCCAAAUGAUAUCUUUUGUGCCAAGAGCCAGAAUUUUGUGUCCUGAGUCGAAGACCCGUAGUGGGAGUUACCAAGGCCGAGCAGAGGAUAAUGAGGUAGGUUAGGUAGACAUACACUCUCGGAAACGCUUGUUCCAAUGGGAUCGCGCUGCAUCGUCAUCAGCAUCACCGGUCGGUCAUCUUUCAAAUGACGGCAGUUGGGGUAAUUUGUAAUAUAUCCGACUAGGGAUCUUUGGUUGAUAGUUGCCGGGCUUGAGCGCAGGAGGGUUUUUUUCAUUAUUAUUUUAUUAUUAUUUUAUUAUUUUUUUUCUCAUGUUUGCUGACGAUAUUCGGUGCACCACCAAAGCCGGAUUGCCGAAUCCCCCGUAACGUCACCCCUGACAACAUUCCUGUAUACUCGCAGAGCCAUAGUUUUUGUAUUUCCUCGUUCCCCUGUUGGCCUUCGCCGAAUUCAGACUCCCAUUCCUGUAUAC
rnacentral:sRNA from 1 species